rnacentral:rRNA from 1 species
UACGUAGGGGGCUAGCGUUGUCCGGAUUUAUUGGGCGUAAAGAGCGUGUAGGCGGCCAGGUAGGUCCGGUGUGAAAACUCGAGGCUUAACCUCGAGAUGUCAUCGGAAACCAAUCUGGCUAGAGUCCGGAAGAGGAAGGUGGAAUUCCUGGUGUAGCGGUGAAAUGCGCAGAUAUCAGGAAGAACACCAAUGGCGAAAGCAGCUUUCUGGGACGGUACUGACGCUGAGACGCGAAAGCGUGGGGAGCGAACAGG